AAGAAUCUGAGCUGGUUCAUAGUCUAAAUCAGUUCUAUUAUGGCGCACCCUCAGAAGGACUCAAUUCCUUUGACGACUUCAUGCCUGGGAUAUCCAACUCCUGCUGCGCACCCAAGAAAGAUAACAUACAAUUAGUCCUGACUGUAUGACCUCUGGAGGACUCUCGCCACUUCUCUGGUGUUCUGUGCUCUCUAUGGCAAAGAGAGAAAGAACAGACCUAGAAUGGAGGAAGUUCAUUUGUGACUGCGCGCUAAAUGUACUUCGUUGACUGUAAUCCACUUUCAAGGCAACUAGAAGUUGUGACAGUGCAAUACAAAUUCAAGCCUUGCAUUUUAAUCUUCAAAUCCAGUGGUCAAAAAAUCCAAGACUCAAAAGCCUCCACCGAUCAAAUGAGGUAUGGUCAGCCCAUUCAAGGGGAUCGAUAAACCCAGAGAAAUUAAGACAACACCGCACCGGGGCUUCAAGAGUCAGCUGGCAAAUUACUGGGCUGUUCCUGAGUGAAGGGAGAGACCAUGGUGAGAUGAGGUGAGAGUUGCUGCAUUGCUUUAGAGCAACACCUCCACCUUCCCCGGAUCUAUCCCCUCACCCACUCCGUCUACUUGUUCAUCUCCUGGAUUUGCCCCUCAUGAUCUCAU